rnacentral:lncRNA from 1 species
CUGUGCCUCCUUCUGAACCGGGGCUUACUUCUCUCUCACCUCGGGGGUUUUGCUAGCAGCUAAGGAAAGCUCCCUCUUCAUUUGCCUCCCUUUAACUUUUUGUUUUGUGACGUCAUUUCAGUCCUUGCUGGCUGCCUCUCCACAUGGCAUUUUACUCCCUGCCCCUGUAGGGUUUAAGUGGCUUAAGGGGUAGCCUUCACAGCGUAUGCUCUGGAUAUGCGGUUCUGGGAAAAGCUGCUUGUACCUAGAAUGUCACCCAGUGUACCGGUGGCUAGGCAGUGACUUCAUGAAGCUGAGGAGAGAGACUUGCCAGCUCCUGCAGUUUCCCACACUGCACCUGAUAGUCACGGGUCCCUCAUGGCAUGUGUCCUCAGGGUGUCUCUUUUUAAUUGGGAAUGCCUAAAGGGGGAUUUGUGCAUAUGUUUAAGCAUCAGUCUUAGUAAGAUGUCUUGAAAAGAAGAUCUGGACCAAGCUAGGAACAUUUCAUAGAAGAGCUGACUGGGAAUUUGAUCUGAUAUGGAGAACAGCUAUACCUAGAGAUAUUCUCUUUUGGGGGGUUGGUGGGGUGGGAGUUGGGUGGGGUACAGGUGUCAAAGAAGGUUGUAAAUAGUGAGUAAGAAAAGCCACUUGGGAGAGAUCCUGCCUCUCCCAUGGGAUGGCCUGACGUCUGUCCUAGGCGGGCCCUUGGCUUCCUUCAUAUGCUUGGCUGUGAUGGCACGGCAGGGUUUCGAGACUGGAUAUCAAGCUUUUACAUCAUUGGUUACUACAAGGUACAACUCUGGUGACAGCAGUGCCUGCUUUCCGUUAAGCGUGAAGUCUGGCACAAGAGGAGGUAGGGCCGCUGUGCUUAGAGACGUAAGCAAUAAGAGAUGACUGGACAGCCUGUCGCACAUUUAGAAGUGGAUAUGUAUGUCUGUGUAUGCACAGAUUUUUUACAGAGACCAAAACCAGAAUAUAUGUCCUUAAAGAAUAAAAACUAAAAAAAA